rnacentral:rRNA from 1 species
AUUGAACGCUGGCGGCAGGCCUAACACAUGCAAGUCGAGCGGAUGAGUGGAGCUUGCUCCAUGAUUCAGCGGCGGACGGGUGAGUAAUGCCUAGGAAUCUGCCUGGUAGUGGGGGACAACGUUUCGAAAGGAACGCUAAUACCGCAUACGUCCUACGGGAGAAAGCAGGGGGACCUUCGGGCCUUGCGUUAUCAGAUGAGCCUAGGUCGGAUUAGCUAGUAGGUGAGGUAAUGGGACUCACCUAGGCGACGAUCCGUAACUGGUCUGAGAGGAUGAUCAGUCACACUGGAACUGAGACACGGGUCCAGACUCCUACGGGAGGCAGCAGUGGGGAAUAUUGGACAAUGGGCGAAAGCCUGAUCCAGCCAUGCCGCGUGUGUGAAGAAGGUCUUCGGAUUGUAAAGC